rnacentral:rRNA from 1 species
GACGAACGCUGGCGGCGUGCUUAACACAUGCAAGUCGAACGAAGUGGCGAACGGGUGAGUAACGCGUAAUCAACCUGCCCUUCAGAGGGGGACAACAGUUGGAAACGACUGCUAAUACAGCAUACUGAAGGAGGGGAUAGAGUCUGAUCAGCUAGUUGGAGGGGUAACGGCACACAAAGGCGAUGCUCAGUAGCCGGUCUGAGAGGAGGAACGGCCACAGUGGCACUGAGACACGGCCCAGACUCCUACGGUAGGCAGCAGGGGGGAAUCUGCCGCAAUGGACGAAAGUCUGACGGAGCAACGCCGCGUGAGUGAUGACGGCCUUCGGGUUGUAAAGCUCUGUUAAUCGGGACGCGGUACCGGAAUAGAAAGCCACGGCUAACUACGUGCCAGCAGCCGCGGUAAUAC